UAGAAUUUAGUUGAAAUACAACAUUAAAUUGCAAGUUUAAAGGAAAUUAAUUUAAUUCUAU
rnacentral:tRNA from 1 species